rnacentral:tRNA from 1 species
GCGGAGAUGGUGCAAUGGAAGCACAAUGGGGUCAUAUCCCAUAGACGAGGUUCGAAUCCUAUGUCCGCA